AAGAAGUUAAGGGUCCUUAAUGAGGGCAGAACCCUGGUGAAGCUGAAUGUCAACUCCCAGGGAAAUAAGGAGCACAGCAAACCCAGAAAACCUCCAGUGGUAGGAGAUCCCAUCAUCAACUCCCAGGGAAAUAAGGAACACAGCAAACCCAGAAAACCUCCAGGUCAGAGUGGAGUCAAGGACCUCUAUUGCUAUUGCUCUAUCAUGUGAAGAUUCUUCAAGAAGUCAGCAGUCCAACAUCCCUCACCAGAACCUGACCGUAUUGGCAUCCUGAUCAUGGAUACUCAGCCUCUAGAACUAUGAGAAAUGAAUAUUUAUCAUUUACGUA